rnacentral:rRNA from 1 species
UAGGGAAUCUUGCGCAAUGGGCGAAAGCCUGACGCAGCCAUGCCGCGUGAAUGAUGAAGGUCUUAGGAUUGUAAAAUUCUUUCAGCGGGGAAGAUAAUGACUGUACCCGCAGAAGAAGCUCCGGCUAACUUCGUGCCAGCAGCCGCGGUAAUACGAAGGGGGCUAGCGUUGCUCGGAAUUACUGGGCGUAAAGGGCGCGUAGGCGGGUGUUUAAGUCAGAGGUCAAAUCCCAGGGCUCAACCCUGGAACUGCCUUUGAUACUGGGCACCUAGAGUUCGGGAGAGGUGUGUGGAACUCCGAGUGUAGAGGUGAAAUUCGUAGAUAUUCGGAAGAACACCAGUGGCGAAGGCGACACACUGGCCCGAUACUGACGCUGAGGCGCGAAAGCGUGGGGAGCAAACAGG